rnacentral:tRNA from 1 species
GCCGCCGUAGCUCAGUGGUAGAGCACCCCCUUGGUAAGCCUUGGUAAGGGGGAGGUCGGGUGUCCAAUCUACUCCGGCAGCACCA